rnacentral:lncRNA from 1 species
UGUGCUUGAACUUCUGAUGAGACCUGGACUCCUUAAUGAGGGCUAUGGCAUCGUUGUUAUCACAAUGUAGUGCAAUGGCAUCUAAUGGCAUCACAUCCAGCUUCACAAUGAACUUCUUGAAUCAAAAGGCUUUCUUAGCAGCUUCAAAGGCAGUGAUGUACUCGACUUUCAUGGUCGAAUCUGUAAUGCUUGGCUGCUUAAAAUUUUUUUAGCUAACCG